UACGUAGGGUGCGAGCGUUAAUCGGAAUUACUGGGCGUAAAGCGUGCGCAGGCGGUUUUGUAAGCCAGAUGUGAAAGCCCCGGGCUUAACCUGGGAAUGGCAUUUGGGACUGCAAGGCUUGAGUGCGGCAGAGGAGACUGGAAUUCCUGGUGUAGCAGUGAAAUGCGUAGAUAUCAGGAGGAAUACCGAUGGCGAAGGCAGGUCUCUGGGCUGACACUGACGCUCAUGCACGAAGCGUAGGGAGCGGAACAA
rnacentral:rRNA from 1 species